UAGCAAUUAGCUCAGUUGGUUUAGAGCGCCUUACUUACAAUAUGGAGGUCAUAGGUUCGAAUCCUAUAUUGCUAA
rnacentral:tRNA from 1 species